UACGUAGGGUGCAAGCGUUAAUCGGAAUUACUGGGCGUAAAGCGUGCGCAGGCGGUUUUGUAAGUCUGUCGUGAAAUCCCCGGGCUCAACCUGGGGAAUUGCGAUGGAGACUGCAAGGCUAGAAUCUGGCAGAGGGGGGGUAGAAUUCCACGUGUAGCAGUGAAAUGCGUAGAGAUGUGGAGGAACACCGAUGGCGAAGGCAGCCCCCCUGGGCUAACACUGACGCUCAUGCACGAAAGCGUGGGGAGCAAACAGG
rnacentral:rRNA from 1 species